UACGGAGGGGGCUAGCGUUGUUCGGAAUUACUGGGCGUAAAGCGCACGUAGGCGGCUUUGUAAGUUAGAGGUGAAAGCCCGGGGCUCAACUCCGGAAUUGCCUUUAAGACUGCAUCGCUCGAAUUGUGGAGAGGUAAGUGGAAUUCCGAGUGUAGAGGUGAAAUUCGUAGAUAUUCGGAAGAACACCCAGUGGCGAAGGCGACUUACUGGACACAUAUUGACGCUGAGGUGCGAAAGCGUGGGGAGCAAACAGG
rnacentral:rRNA from 1 species